rnacentral:lncRNA from 13 species
AUGUCUGACUACAACAGUGUACUAACUAGCAGCAACAAACUCAAACCAACCCAGGGCCAUAGAAAAACAUGUCACAGGUGUUUGUAUAGUGUUAACGGUGUCACCGGUCUGAAUCUAAUCCAAUCUGGAGCCAGUCAGUCUACAUCUGUAAAGCAAAGAAUUAGCUUCCAAACCAGAGUACAUUAUUUCUCGAGCUAUGUUUAUAAUUCAGGAAUGAUGACAAUCGUUCACCCUGUUUUUCAUAGAAAAAGUGCACAGUUGGGUGCCAAACGGAUCCCAUGGUCGUUAAUGGAUGGUGGGACCUACCAGAAGGAGCCAAUUCUCUCUCAACUCAUACGAAAAGGACAUGCCAUAAUGAGGCCUCUGAUAGUGACCCGAGUUACUGAUACAUCAACAAUGACAGGCCCUCCCAGUCUACACCACCUCAUAAGAUUGCCUGCUGCAGUUGUUCGAGAGACGGCCAGUUUACAGCCGAACACGCAGCAUAGAGAAGACCAGCAAAGGGGCCCUCAUCAGCAUCAUGCAGACAUGCCCUUGCUGUGA